GAUUGAAGAAAGGGAAAUCCUCAACAGGAAAUAAAGGCAGAGAACGAAGUCAUACCAGAGUUUUUCCUCUUUGGCAAGACACACAGGAUGAUUUGAACCUGGGUCAUGCUAGCUUCUUUAACCUGUUUAAACAUUUCUUCAACUCUCUUAACAGGUUCAGCGCUAAUAAAUUCUGAAUUUUCUUCAAUCAGCCUAUAUGGUUGAUCAAUAUGGUGCAAUGAUUAAAGAGAUCAUUAAAUAAGAGAAAAGUUGAUAAAUAUCCAAAGUAAAAUGCCGCCGACUUUGCCAAAUAUCCAAAGUAAAGCCAUGUCACAAUUCACAAAUCCCAAAUGCCUAACCCUAACCCCAGUUUCUGAAAUGAAGAUCUCUCCCUCUUUCCCUUCGAUUCCCAAAUACCUAACCCAAACCCCAAACCCCAAUUUCCAAAAUCAAGAUCUCUCUCUCCCUCCGAUUCCCAAAUCCCAACUGGGAAGAAGAUCAAGGACUGAUAUCGGCAAAUCCAUCAUAGUUUUUGGUGGUUAUAAUGCAUUUAGAAGGAGAACGAGAACCGACUUUUAUGGUGGGUGGAGCAAAGUUUAGAUGGUAUUCUAUUCCAGUCCCUUAUUAUGCAGAUGAUGCAGAGGCAGAGGCAGAAAAAAAGCUGAGUCCGUUUUCUGUAGUGGAGCUUCACAAACUGUUUUCCUUUGUAGCUCUAAAAUCAUCUAUAUAUUGUCUUAGCAGCCCUACUACAAAGACGUGGAUUUUCGAUGGUUGUUAUUGGAAGCUUGGUCCUCAAAUGAAUGUUCGUAGAUCUUAUCAUCACACCAUUGUCCUGGGCGGUAAGCUGUAUGUUUUAGGUGGUUUAUAUGCGGAUGCGAGAGAGGAAUACAUUUGGAUGGAGGUUCUUAACCUGAAACACACAGCCUGGAGACCAUUGCCCAAUCCUCCAUUACAGAUUAGUUCCUUUGGCAUGGUUUCUGCUGCUUUACAGCGCACUAAACAAAUUAUUGUGACUGCAUUCCUUAGGGCGACUCCAAGGUCCACCAUUGUUAUGAUUAUGAUAGUGGUUGUGUGGUUUACAUAUAUGAUGUCUGUACUUGUUGUUGGACAGAACUUGACACUCUGACCAUCAAUCUACGUUGUGGGUCUCUAAUUACGCGUAGUAAUAGAGCUGUAGUAGUGCGGAUGAUACCCUCUACUGGGCUUCGCUCAAUGAGGAUGAUAAGUUUUUAGUUGUCCAUGCUUACUGUCUAUAUAAAAAUGAGUGGUUUGAGGGCUUUAUCAACCCUAAGAGAAUCAUUGGGAUGAAAGAAGCUGUAAGUUAUAUGAAUAAUCCAACUCCUGUCCACUUAGGCGGUACCAAAUUCUGCCUUCUAUUUCAAUCCUACAUCUGUCAUCCGUGGAAACAAGGAAUGCAGAUAUUUGAAAUGAAGCAUGAUUGGUAUCUCCAUUUGGUUGUAUUUGAUUUUUCUCUAGAAUCAGAUCUGGAGGAGGAUUUCGGGAAGCUGCAUAUUUCAGUUGUUUCAACCCAGAAAUAUCGUCUGGAUCACAGUGUAUAUUUCAGUGAUGCUGUGUUGCUGGAGGGUAGUGCCUUUAAUUGCACCUUGCAGAAGAAACCAAAGUUAUGUGCAGAUUAGUGUGGGUCACUUCCUUCAAGGCCAGGACAUGAGAUUGUUGGUGGUGACAGCUUGAGUUUGGAAGAGAGAGCUUUGCCAUAGAGAAAUGUAGAAGAAGGUGGCUGCUCGGCCACAAACAAAUUUAGUUUGGAAUUUGUAAUUUGUAUUAGUGUUAAAUAUUUGAUCUAUAUUAUGAAUAUUAUUGCUUGAUAAAGAAUUUGCUUUGUUAUAUUAUAUUGGUAGUUUAAGGUUUUAUUUUA